rnacentral:rRNA from 1 species
CCUACGGGGAGCAGCAGUGAGGAAUAUUGGUCAAUGGGCGCGAGCCUGAACCAGCCAAGUCGCGUGAGGGAGGACGGCCCUACGGGUUGUAAACCUCUUUUGCCGGGGAGCAACGGGCGCCACGUGUGGCGUCACUGAGAGUACCCGGAGAAAAAGCAUCGGCUAACUCCGUGCCAGCAGCCGCGGUAAUACGGAGGAUGCGAGCGUUAUCGGGAUUUAGUGGGUUUAAAGGGUGCGUAGGCGGAUCGUUGAGCCAGGGGUCAAAUUGAGGGGCUCAACCCUUUCCCGCCAUUGAUACUGGCGUUCUUGAGUGGAAGAGAGGUAUGCGGAAUGCGUGGUGUAGCGGUGAAAUGCAUAGAUAUCACGCAGAACCCCGAUUGCGAAGGCAGCAUGC